rnacentral:rRNA from 1 species
AACGAACGCUGGCGGCAGGCCUAAAACAUGCAAGUCGAACGAACCUUCGGGUUAGUGGCGCACGGGUGAGUAACACGUGGGAACGUACCCUUCGGUGAGGAACAACGUCUGGAAACGGACGCUAAUACCGCAUAAUAUCUACGGAUCAAAGAUUUAUCGCCAAAGGAACGGCCCGCGUUAGAUUAGGUAGUUGGUAGGGUAAUGGCCUACCAAGCCUACGAUCUAUAGCUGGUUUGAGAGGAUGAUCAGCCACACUGGGACUGAGACACGGCCCAGACUCCUACGGGAGGCAGCAGUUAGGGAUAUUGGACAAUGGGGGAAACCCUGAUCCAGCCAUGCCGCGUGUGUGAAGAAGGCCUUAGGGUUGUAAAGCACUUUCAUCUGCGAAGAUAAUGACAGUAACAGAAGAAGAAGCUCCGGCUAAAUUCGUGCCAGCCGCCGCCGUAA